CUGGAUCAUAAGGAAACUUUAUGCUUAACUUUUUGAGAAACUGCCAGACUGUUUUCCAAAGUGAUUGCCAUAUAUAAUCUCCUUUUCACAGACAAGACUGAGGCCCAGAGAGGGGAAGUGUCUUAUGCAAAGCUACACACUCAGAGAGCAGGAGCUAAUCACCUAAAUGGCCUCAACUCCACCUGCACUCUCUCCUUUGAUUUCACUACCAUCUAUCUAUCUCACUGUCACACUCACACUCCUCACGCCCACUUUACCCCUCCAUUCCUUUCCCCAUCCAGCAGCAAAUCCCCUCACCAGUCCUUCCCAGAGGCUUCCACUGCCCUAUCAGGAUCAAGUGCUCCUCUGUGGAAUGAUUUACAAGCUCUGCCAUCUAGAUCAGCGAUCGCCAAUCGGUGGUCCGGGAGGUCCGAAAGGUUGGUGACUGCUAUCUAGAUGGCCCUACUCAAGACAUUUUGGGGCUGUUCUUUUGUUUUUAAGCAGCUCUACCUGAAGCUAACAGACCAUUGGCCAUUUUAGUCGAGUCAGUUCACAUUCCUUU